CGCAGGGGCCCAGGGUCUGCACGGCUGCCCCCGCGCCCCCCCCCCCCGUGCCCCUCGGCUUCUAGACCCACGUCCCCUCCCCCCUGCCCUCCCUCUGUCCCUUGUGCUCCACCCCCCCAAAGCUGCCCGGCUUGAAAGUCCCGCAGCGCCAGAGCCCGGGGGCAGGGCAGCUGCGCCCUGCCGUUUCCGCGGUGCUUCCAGGGGCCUGAAGGGCGGGUGGCUGCCUGUGACGGAGAAGGAAAGGGCGACCCAGCCUGCCUGGGGCCCGAGCCGGAGACGCAGGCCCCCGCGGAGCGGUGGAUCCCGAGCUAGCCCGACACACCCGGCACCCGCGCGGCUCCCGGAGAAUGAGAAGAGAAAACUAACGCCAAGAAAACCCGCAAGUGGCCUCUGAAUCUGAACUGUGAGUGGGUGUCGAGAAGAUGAGGCACCACUGCGGCUCUCGGCCCUGCAGCAAGGCCACAGGGCAGGGCGCCCACUGAGCGCUUCCGAGGAAAAAGAUGUUUUUUAGAGUAACUUAUAGAGGACACAGCAGUGAACAAAAUGUGCCACUUUCAGUAGUGUAAACAACAUGAAGAAAUA